CCCUCUUUUUUUUCUGUCUGCAGCUUCGCCAUCAAGGGUGAAGGGCUCUACUACUAGUACUGCGGGCAAACGGAGAUAAGACGAACACAGCACGA
rnacentral:snoRNA from 1 species